GACGAACGCUGGCGGCGUGCCUAAUACAUGCAAGUCGAGCGGAACUGGGGGAGCUUGCUCCUUCCAGUUUAGCGGCGGACGGGUGAGUAACACGUGGGCAACCUGCCCUGCAGAUCGGGAUAACUCCGGGAAACCGGUGCUAAUACCGAAUAGUUUGGCGCCUCUCCUGAGGCGCCACGGAAAGACGGUUUCGGCUGUCACUGCAGGACGGGCCCGCGGCGCAUUAGCUAGUUGGUGGGGUAACGGCCCACCAAGGCGACGAUGCGUAGCCGACCUGAGAGGGUGACCGGCCACACUGGGACUGAGACACGGCCCAGACUCCUACGGGAGGCAGCAGUAGGGAAUCUUCCGCAAUGGACGCAAGUCUAACGGAGCAACGCCGCGUGAGUGACGAAGGUUUUCGGAUCGUAAAACUCUGUUGUGAGGGAAGAACACGUACCAACUAACUAUUGGUACCUUGACGGUACCUCACCAGAAAGCCACGGCUAACUACGUGCCAGCCGCCGCGGUAA
rnacentral:rRNA from 1 species